rnacentral:rRNA from 1 species
CGAGCGGAGAUUGUAGAAAAGCUUGCUUUUCAAAGUCUUAGCGGCGGACGGGUGAGUAACACGUGGGCAACCUGCCCUUGAGACGGGGAUAACUCCGGGAAACCGGAGCUAAUACCGGAUAACACAUAUCUUCGCAUGAGGAUAUGUUAGAAGGUGGCUUUUAGCUACCACUCAAGGAUGGGCCCGCGGCGCAUUAGCUAGUUGGUGAGGUAACGGCUCACCAAGGCGACGAUGCGUAGCCGACCUGAGAGGGUGAUCGGCCACACUGGGACUGAGACACGGCCCAGACUCCUACGGGAGGCAGCAGUAGGGAAUCUUCCGCAAUGGACGAAAGUCUGACGGAGCAACGCCGCGUGAGUGAUGAAGGUUUUCGGAUCGUAAAGCUCUGUUGUUAGGGAAGAACAAGUACCUGUUAAAUAAGCAGGUACCUUGACGGUACCUAACCAGAAAGCCACGGCUAACUACGUGCCAGCAGCCGCGGUAAUACGUAGGUGGCAAGCGUUGUCCGGAAUUAUUGGGCGUAAAGCGCGCGCAGGCGGUUCCUUAAGUCUGAUGUGAAAGCCCACGGCUCAACCGUGGAGGGUCAUUGGAAACUGGGGAACUUGAGUGCAGAAGAGGAGAGCGGAAUUCCACGUGUAGCGGUGAAAUGCGUAGAGAUGUGGAGGAACACCAGUGGCGAAGGCGGCUCUCUGGUCUGUAACUGACGCUGAGGCGCGAAAGCGUGGGGAGCGAACAGGAUUAGAUACCCUGGUAGUCCACGCCGUAAACGAUGAGUGCUAAGUGUUAGAGGGUUUCCGCCCUUUAGUGCUGCAGCAAACGCAUUAAGCACUCCGCCUGGGGAGUACGGUCGCAAGACUGAAACUCAAAGGAAUUGACGGGGACCCGCACAAGCGGUGGAGCAUGUGGUUUAAUUCAAGCAACGCGAAGAACCUUACCAGGUCUUGACAUCCUCUGCUACUUCUAGAGAUAGAAGGUUCCCUUCGGG